UACGUAGGGCGCAAGCGUUGUCCGGAAUUAUUGGGCGUAAAGAGCUCGUAGGCGGUUUGUCGCGUCUGCUGUGAAAACCUAAGGCUCAACCUUGGGCUUGCAGUGGAUACUGCCGGGCUAGAGUCCGGAAGAGGCGAGUGGAACUCCUGGUGUAGCGGUGGAAUGCGCAGAUAUCAGGAAGAACACCAACGGCGAAGGCAGCUCGCUGGGACGGUACUGACGCUGAGACGCGAAAGCGUGGGGAGCGAACAGG
rnacentral:rRNA from 1 species